rnacentral:rRNA from 1 species
UGCUCAUGGCUCAGGACGAACGCUGGCGGCGUGCCUAAUACAUGCAAGUAGAACGCUGAAGGAGGAGCUUGCUCUUCUGGAUGAGUUGCGAACGGGUGAGUAACGCGUAGGUAACCUGCCUGGUAGCGGGGGAUAACUAUUGGAAACGAUAGCUAAUACCGCAUAAUAUUGACUAUUGCAUGAUAGUCAAUUGAAAGGUGCAAAUGCACCACUACCAGAUGGACCUGCGUUGUAUUAGCUAGUUGGUGGGGUAACGGCUCACCAAGGCGACGAUACAUAGCCGACCUGAGAGGGUGAUCGGCCACACUGGGACUGAGACACGGCCCAGACUCCUACGGGAGGCAGCAGUAGGGAAUCUUCGGCAAUGGACGGAAGUCUGACCGAGCAACGCCGCGUGAGUGAAGAAGGUUUUCGGAUCGUAAAGCUCUGUUGUAAGAGAAGAACGAGUGUGAGAGUGGAAAGUUCACACUGUGACGGUAUCUUACCAGAAAGGGACGGCUAACUACGUGCCAGCAGCCGCGGUAAUACGUAGGUCCCGAGCGUUGUCCGGAUUUAUUGGGCGUAAAGCGAGCGCAGGCGGUUAGAUAAGUCUGAAGUUAAAGGCUGUGGCUUAACCAUAGUACGCUUUGNGAAACUGUUAAACUUGGAGUGCAGAAGGGGAGAGUGGAAUUCCCAUAUGUAGCGGUAAAAUGCGUAGAUAUAUGGGAGGAACCACCGCUGGGCGAAAGCGGCUAUCUGGUCUGUGAACUGACGCUGAGGGCUCGAAAGCGUGGGGAGCAAANCAGGAUUAGAUACCACGGGUAGUCCACGCCGUAAACGAUGAGUGCUAGGUGUUGGGUCCUUUCCGGGACUCAGUGCCGCAGCUAACGCAUUAAGCACUCCGCCUGGGGAGUACGACCGNCAAGGUUGAAACUCAAAGGAAUUGACCGCGGGCCCGCACAAGCGGUGGAGCAUGUGGUUUAAUUCGAAGCAACGCGAAGAACCUUACCAGGUCUUGACAUCCCGGUGCCCGUCCUAGAGAUAGGAUUUUGCUUCGGCACACCCGGUGACAGGUGGGUGCAUGGUUGUCGUCAGCUCGUGUCGUGAGAAUGUUGGGUUAAGUCCCGCAACGAGCGCAACCCUUAUUACUAGUUGCCAGCAUUGAGUUGGGCACUCUAGUGAGACUGCCGGUGACAAACCGGAGGAAGGUGGGGAUGACGUCAAAUCAUCAUGCCCCUUAUGACUUGGGCUACACACGUGCUACAAUGGAUGGUACAACGAGCAGCGAACUCGCGAGGGUAAGCGAAUCUCUUAAAGCCAUUCUCNGUUCGGAUUGUAGGCUGCAACUCGCCUACAUGAAGCCGGAAUCGCUAGUAAUCGUGGAUCAGCACGCCGCGGUGAAUACGUUCCCGGGUCUUGUACACACCGCCCGUCACACCACGAGAGUUUGUAACACCCAAAGUCGGUGAGGUAACCUUUAUGGAGCCAGCCGCCUAAGGUGGGAUAGAUGAUUGGGGUGAAGUCGUAACAAGGUAGCCGUAUCGGAAGGUGCGGCUGGAUCACCUCCUUC